AUUGAACGCUGGCGGCAGGCCUAACACAUGCAAGUCGAGCGGAUGAGUGGAGCUUGCUCCAUGAUUCAGCGGCGGACGGGUGAGUAAUGCCUAGGAAUCUGCCUGGUAGUGGGGGACAACGUUUCGAAAGGAACGCUAAUACCGCAUACGUCCUACGGGAGAAAGCAGGGGACCUUCGGGCCUUGCGCUAUCAGAUGAGCCUAGGCCGGAUUAGCUAGUAGGUGAGGUAAAGGCUCACCUAGGCGACGAUCCGUAACUGGUCUGAGAGGAUGAUCAGUCACACUGGAACUGAGACACGGUCCAGACUCCUACGGGAGGCAGCAGUGGGGAAUAUUGGACAAUGGGCGAAAGCCUGAUCCAGCCAUGCCGCGUGUGUGAAGAAGGUCUUCGGAUUGUAAAGCACUUUAAGUUGGGAGGAAGGGCAGUAAGUUAAUACCUUGCUGUUUUGACGUUACCAACAGAAUAAGCACCGGCUAACUUCGUGCCAGCCGCCGCAGUAAAAC
rnacentral:rRNA from 1 species